GCCUCUCACCCACACGACCCAAAACUUGCUUUCACGCUCUACUUCAACUCCAGGCCUGCUGCACACCCCACAUCACGCGUGGUAUAGAUGUAUAGAUAGGUUCGCGCUCUAGUGAUGCGGAGCGCCAUGUAUGAGGCUCACACUGGCAGCAGACACGCCGCCGGCGCCAAUGGUGACAUCGGCAAGCAGCCAUCAGCAUGCAGCACUGGUAGGCAAAGCGCUGCCUCCCCACGAU
rnacentral:lncRNA from 1 species